AUGAACGCUAGCGGCAGGCCUAACACAUGCAAGUCGAGGGGUAGCAGGAUUAAGCUUGCUUAAUUGCUGACGACCGGCGCACGGGUGCGUAACGCGUAUGCAACCUACCUUAUACUGGGGUAUAGCCCGGAGAAAUUCGGAUUAAUCCCCCAUAGUACUAUUUGAUCGCAUGGUUGAAUAGUUAAAGCAUUGCGGUAUAAGAUGGGCAUGCGUCCUAUUAGCUAGAUGGUGAGGUAACGGCUCACCAUGGCUACGAUAGGUAGGGGGCCUGAGAGGGUGGUCCCCCACACUGGUACUGAGACACGGACCAGACUCCUACGGGAGGCAGCAGUGAGGAAUAUUGGUCAAUGGGCGCAAGCCUGAACCAGCCAUGCCGCGUGCAGGAAGAAUGCCCUAUGGGUUGUAAACUGCUUUUAUUUGGGAAUAAACCUCUUUACGUGUAGAGAGCUGAAGGUACCAAAUGAAUAAGCACCGGCUAACUCCGUG
rnacentral:rRNA from 1 species